CGGGCGUGGUGGUGGGCGCCUGUAGUCCCAGCUACUCUGGAGGUUGAGGCUGGAGAAUGGCGUGAACCCGGGAGGCGGAGCUUGCAGUGAGCCGAGACGCGCCACUGCACUCCAGCCUGCGCAACAGAGCGAGACUCCAUCUCAAAAGAAAAGAAAAGAAAAGAAAAGAAACUUUUAAUGAACACUUAACAGGUGUUCAGACUCAAACUGGGCCACACCACUGGCUUUCUGGGUCUCCUGUUUGCAGAUGGCAGACUGAGGAGUUCUCAGCUUCCAUAAUCAUGUGAACUCAAUCACGCUGAACUCAACGGGAUGGAAUAUUUUCCCUACAUUUAAGUUGUAAAUGGCAGGUUGCUUUACAAUAAAUAUCUGGGACAAUAAAAUGCCACUUCUUUAUACAGUUUUAUUAUAAAAAAUACUUAUGUUGUAAAUAAUAUUUUAAAAUUCUGACUAUGUAGCUAAUGCUUAUUAUAGAAAAUUUGAAAGUUCUUAAGAAAUAUAUGGAAAAUAAAUAACGCCCACAAUUUUACCAUUGGAACUCUCAGUAUAUAGAAAAUGUGAAUUUCUUUUUCCAUAUUAACUUUACGUGGGCACAGAUAUUUAUGUCAUGACCAUUUUUCUAUAAAAUACACUGCUUAUAAACAUGAUAUUUCAUGGCUUAACGUGAAUUAUUCAAUAAUUUUUCUAUUUUGAGGUAUUUGAAGUUAUUUCUCUUCGU
rnacentral:lncRNA from 1 species